UUGGCAUGGGCGCAGCCUGACCAGCCAUGCCGCGUGGAGAUGAUGAAGGCCUUCGGGUUGUAAAACUCUUUUGGCGGGGACGAUANUCGNCNGUACCCAGCUAGCAAUAAGCUCCGUGCUAACUUCGUGCCAACAACCGCGGNAAUACNAAUGGGGCUAGCGUUGUUCGGAAUUACUGGGCGUAAAGCGUGCGCAGGCGGNCUUNUCAAGUCAGGGGUGAAAGCCCANAGCUNAACUCUGGAAUUGCCUUUGAGACUGANUGNNUUGANUACGANAGAGGNGAGUGGAAUUCCCAGNGUAGAGGUGAAAUUCGUAUAUAUUGGGAAGAACACCGGUGGCGAAGGCNGNUCACUGGCUCGUAACUGACGCUCAUGCACUACAGCGUGGGGAUCAAACAGGAUUAGAUACCCUGGUAGUCCACGCCGUAAACUAUNAACGCUAGCCGUUGGGUANCUUGCUAUUCACUGGCGCANCUAACGCAUUAAGCGUUCCGCCUGGGGAGUACNGCCGNAAGGUUNAAACUCAAAAGAAUNGACGGA
rnacentral:rRNA from 1 species